UACGUAGGGUGCAAGCGUUAAUCGGAAUUACUGGGAGUAAAGCGUGCGCAGGCGGUUAUGCAAGACAGAUGUGAAAUCCCCGGGCUCAACCUGGGAACUGCAUUUGUGACUGCAUGGCUAGAGUACGGUAGAGGGGGAUGGAAUUCCGCGUGUAGCAGUGAAAUGCGUAGAUAUGCGGAGGAACACCGAUGGCGAAGGCAAUCCCCUGGACCUGUACUGACGCUCAUGCACGAAAGCGUGGGGAGCAAACAGG
rnacentral:rRNA from 1 species